UUUCAAUGAAAAUGCCAACUCAAGAAAGGAAAUUGCCACAAAUAGCACAUUGAUAGUACCACUUUUCAUGUUUACACUAACCAUUUUUACCAUCAUUUUUAAUGAAGGGUAAAAGACACUUAUACACUUAGGGUUAACUAAUUUAGACUUAAGGUUUAGAGUUGAGGGGUGGGGUAGAGUUUUUGGAAUGUGAAAUUUAGGAUUCUAAUAAAUAUAUAAAUAAAUACUUAGAAAAUAUAAUUAUUUUAAAAGAUAGUUUCAAACAUAAUUUUCGAUUUUCAAAAAGAAAUUUGAAAAAAAAGAAAAUAAAAAAAAAGUUUUAGAAAAAAAAAUUUCAGAAAAAGUUAGAAUUUGAAAAAUUAUAAUUCGAAAACAUAAAAAAAAUUAUUUUUUUUAUAUUUUUUUCGGCACAUGUCAAUCCUUAUGUCCUCAGCGA
rnacentral:lncRNA from 1 species